UACGUAGGGUGCGAGCGUUAAUCGGAAUUACUGGGCGUAAAGCGUGCGUAGGCGGUUCGUUGGGUCUGUGGUGAAAGCCCCGGGCUUAACCUGGGAAUGGCCAUGGAAACUGGCGGGCUGGAGUGUGGCAGAGGGGGGUGGAAUUCCGCGUGUAGCAGUGGAAUGCGUAGAGAUGCGGAGGAACACCGAUGGCGAAGGCAGCCCCCUGGGCUAACACUGACGCUGAGGCACGAAAGCGUGGGGAGCAAACAGG
rnacentral:rRNA from 1 species